rnacentral:lncRNA from 1 species
CAUUUAGGCAUGAAUUGGGCAAAAAAUAGCUCCCGGCGGGUGGGGCGGGGAGACUCUUUAGCCCCAACUUUGCGUAUGGUGGAGAUAGAGUGGGGGGAGGGUUACAAAGUGUUGAGCCUGUGGGGUCAGGGCUGCGCUGGACCUGCUCCAGCCUAAUCUCACCUCCUGCCUUGAGCCUCCAGCUGCCUACUGUGUGGUCCGAUGCAGCAGGGGUGGGACACAGAGGGUGACCUAGAGUGACAACCAACCUUUGCCCCUUACUCUUCUGGACCGUAAGGGUUAGCAAGAAAUCACAGAGCUUAACGUCACCGAAGCCAAAACAAACAACCACAGAAGAAAAAUAAACAUCCCGUCAAAAGCCAGGGCCCUGCAUUUCAUGAAGUCUUUGAUUCCCAUUUUUUAUUCUUAAGAAUCAGAUGGAUGUGUCUGGUUUCCCAGGUGCUGGCCACACCCAGGCCGCCUCCUAGACACACCUGUGUAACCGGAGCCAGGCUUGGGAGAUGGGCAGGUGACCCCAAGCGCUCCUCUUUGUUCCCAGCAACAACAGGUAUUAUGUGGCCUCGGGCACGGAGCUGCCUGAUCAGCUUGAUUUACAACCCGAAACCACCCCACCUCCUCCCGGUCUGUUCCUGAGGUUUACAUAACACAGGUCCUGGGGUAGGACCUGUUCUCGCUGCCCAGAGUCAAGACUGGGGACAUUCUGGCUCUGUACCUCCAGGUUCUCCAGGCGCCUAGAUAUCCCUUUAAAAAAUUCUACAAGUUGGAGUUCCUGUUGCGGCUCAGCAGGUUGAGAACCUGACUGGUACCCAUGAAGAUGCAGGUUCUAUCCCUGGCCUUGCUCAUGAGUUAAGGAUUCCUCGCUGCUGUGAGCUGUGGUGUAGGUCAAAGAUGCAGCCUGGAUCCUGCAUCACUGUGGCUGUGGCUGGCAGCUGCAGCUCUGAUUCGACCCCUAGCCUGGGAACUUCCACAUGCUGCAGGUACAGCCCUAAAAAGCAAAAAAAAAAANAAAAAAAAAAAAAAAAAAA